rnacentral:rRNA from 1 species
UACGAAGGGUGCGAGCGUUAAUCGGAAUUACUGGGCGUAAAGCGCACGUAGGCGGCUUGGUAUGUCGGGUGUGAAAUCCCCGGGCUCAACCUGGGAACUGCAUCCGAAACUGCCUUGCUAGAGUAUGGGAGAGGGAAGUGGAAUUUCCGGUGUAGCGGUGAAAUGCGUAGAUAUCGGAAGGAACAUCAGUGGCGAAGGCGACUUCCUGGACCAAUACUGACGCUCAGGUGCGAAAGCGUGGGGAGCAAACGGG